rnacentral:rRNA from 1 species
AUGAUCCUGCAGAAUUUUUUUUCUGCCUUCACUUUUCUGCGACAUGGAUGUUGUUGCAGAAGGAACUUUUGCAACAUACAUGUGUUGCAGAGUUUUUUUUUCAUCUUCACUUUUCUGCAGCAUAGUGUUGUCGCUGAAGAAACUUUUGCAACACAGAUGACAUUGCAGGAAAAAAAAACAAUGAAAAUGAAGUUACAGAAACGUCGAUGUGUCGCCGGCAACACCGCCGUUGUUCGCCGCCAACCACGAGGCCAUCAACCUCCGAGCUCCCGCCUCAAGCACCGCCAACCCUCCGUCGCCGGUCGCGUGGGCCCGCGAGCUCGCAUGCUAGCUGCUACUUGCAUGCUACCUCCAUGUACUCCCACAGUCGGGUUGGGGAAGGACAUGGCCGGGUUGUGGUGUCCACCGGAGGCUUGCGUGGCCAUGUCUGCUCGCAGGCCGGUGGGCAUGGGCUAG